AUCACCUGGUCAUCUUGUUAAAGUGCAGAUUCUGAUUCACUAAGUCUGGAAUGGGACCUGAGAUUCUGCAUUUCUAGCAAACUCCUAGGUGGUGCUGA
rnacentral:pre_miRNA from 1 species